UACGAAGGGGGCUAGCGUUGCUCGGAAUCACUGGGCGUAAAGCGCACGUAGGCGGAUUGUUAAGUCAGGGGUGAAAUCCUGGAGCUCAACUCCAGAACUGCCUUUGAUACUGGCGAUCUUGAGUCCGGGAGAGGUGAGUGGAACUGGCGAGUGUAGAGGUGGAAUGCGCAGAUAUCAGGAGGAACACCAACGGCGAAGGCAGCUCGCUGGGACGGUACUGACGCUGAGGCGCGAAAGCGUGGGGAGCGAACAGG
rnacentral:rRNA from 1 species